rnacentral:rRNA from 1 species
UACAGAGGUUGCAAGCGUUGUUCGGAAUUACUGGGCGUAAAGGGCGCGUAGGCGGCCCGUCAAGUCCCGUGUGAAAGCCCCCGGCUCAACCGGGGAACGGCGCGGGAAACUAGCAGGCUUGAGUUCGGGAGAGGGAAGCGGAAUUCCGGGUGUAGCGGUGAAAUGCGCAGAUAUCCGGAGGAACACCGGUGGCGAAGGCGGCUUCCUGGACCGACACUGACGCUGAUGCGCGACAGCGUGGGGAGCAAACAGG